rnacentral:lncRNA from 1 species
CUGAAAGAGAAAGGUGGCAGGUCAUAUACAGAAAAUGGAAUGGCAUGAAGUAGGCACAGAUAUUACCUGCUAUUAAGUCUCUUUCCUGAGGGUGAACUAGAAUAUAGGAGGAAGAGAGGAGAAGUCAGGGGUAGGAGGCAAAGGCAACCUUGAGAAAUGGAGGCACCCAAUAGCAAUUAGGUUAGAAUGUCAGACUAAACACAGAUACUGGAGGAAGUGAGGAGGAAGGAGAUGACCUAACUUGCCAUAAUUAAAAAUAUAUCAGAGAUGUCCUGUGGUACCAGAAUCCUACUCUAGAAUAGUAGAAAGGGUAUUGGAUCCAAGAUCUGGGUUGAAAUCCCAACUUUGACACUUGUUAUGGGUAUGAUCAACUGUAAAUCUCUCAACUUCUCCAGAUUACCUUUUCCUGGCAAUUAUAUACAGCUCCUUACUGUCUCCAGCAUUCUAGAAAGACCUCUAUGUUAGAAGCCAAGCUAGUCAACAGGGCCCCACAAUUGGAAAAGAGAAAAUUCCCAUGAAUUCCUCCUACGUCAGCAAACACACUGAACAUGUAUGCGAGUAGUUAUC